GGAGCCGCCGCGCCCAUGGCAGCUGCAAGCGGGGCCCAGGGAGCCGCAGGAGAUGAUGGGCAGAGCGGAUCCCCCCCGGGGGAGACCCUGGGCAAAGAGCGCGGACCAGCAGAAGGCGCGCGCGCAGUGCGGCAGCCGGGGCGGCUGCCACAAGCUGGACCCAAAAUGUGAAGAGGCUCCAUCCAAUACAGAAAAAGGACAUCUCUACCCCGCAGAACUUACAAUUUCAUUUCAGACAAGAUGCACUGAAGGAUGGGGUUACAGCACAGACACCAGAGGGGAGCCAUUGGUGGCAUGGCUCCUGAACGAUCACAAUGUUGACAGAUCACAGAAGGGAUCAAGAAGUCGUAUAAUGAGGAGAGGCCACAGGACAGGAGCUUGAUUUCCCCAUGGAUCAUUUGGCUGUGAAGAAUUUGUCCCUUUUUGAUUUCAAAGCUCUUCUCCCCUGAGCCAGAAGCAUAUGAUUUGCCCCAUCUAUGGUGUUAGGUUAAACCAUGAGCUAUAUGGUAUGGUAGCUCAAAUUGUAUGAUUGUAUGAUCAUUGUAUGAUUAUUAUAAGAGUCAUAACCACGUCAACAAGUCUUUCCAUAUGUAGUAAUUCAUUAAGCAGGACUUCUUGGAAGAGAAUAACUGGAAUCUACACAAUUACGGCUUCCUGUAAUUACCAUAAGACAAAAAUAAUCUUGUAUGCCCUUUGGGCCAGAUUCUGCCACCCUUGCUCACAUUGAAUUGUACUUUACUUCACAAAUAGCCCCACUGAAAUCAAAGAUGGCAGAAUCAGGCUCAAGAAAUUUACACCCUGGCAAUAGAUAUCCCACUACACAGUGCUCGUCUUGUAAUUAAAUGACCAACCAUUAAUAUGAACGCAUACAUAUUUGUGUCCUGCAACUUAAAAUAUUACUAAAUAUUUUUUCCUGCUCAUAUAAUGAAUGAGUAAAUAAUGUGUUACCUAUGACACAUGCCAUAAGAUUCAACUACAGGCACUAAACAAAAAGGAAAUUAAAAAUAGACUGCCUGAUUUUCAGUAGUGCUCAACAUCCCCUGUUCUACUGAUGUUAAAUGGAGUUGUGGGUACUUAGCCGUGUUGGAAAUCCUAUAGUUCUCCCAUGGAAUUUAAAUAUGUUGUGUGAGUGCUAUUUCUUCCAGGGCAAUUAUUUUGUUUUAUUUGAUGCGACAGGGUGAAAUAGUUACUAUAUUUGAUGUUUUCCAUGCACUAAAGAACUAGAUCUGGCACAGAAACUAUGUGAUAAUAAAAAGAACUCUACAUUAUUAAAUGCCUCAUCCAACUCCCACUUAAUCCAAUGGAAAGGCUUUCCUUGACUUCAGUGGGAGUUGGGUCAACCCCUAAAAGUAUACUGACAUUUGUUUGGUGCAUAUCUCAAGCACAGAACUAUGUAUUAACACAUAAAGAAAUGAUCUUUUACUUCUACCAGUAGGAUUAAUGGAACGUCCCAAGAGAAACAUCUUAUGUGUAUACUUGAUGAUGAGCAGUGUAUAUUGCAGAUGAGCUACAUACAGUGCUGGCUAGUGGGCCAUCUUUGCUAACGGAAGUGUCGAAACCAUUCCUCCAUUAAUCUCUUACUCCUAGAGAAGAGGUGUCUCUUGAUAAAAGUUGAGUUUAUUUCCAGAACCACUGGGACUGAGUCUGAAAAUUAAGAACCAGCACUGAAAUAAUCUCCAGACAGCACAGCAAAUCAGCUAGUCCUAGUCAACUAAUUAAAAAACUUGAGUUAAAGGAAUAGAUAUUUAAAGGCAUUUACUUUACAACAAGGUUCUACCAUAAAAGAAGAAAGACGGAAAUGAGCGUAUGAUCAGCUCUUUUCAGUGUAUGUUGCUUAAGAAACAGAAGUCCCAUGGAGACCACAAAG